rnacentral:rRNA from 1 species
GACGAACGCUGGCGGCGUGCCUAAUCCAUGCAAGUAGGACGCAGUUGCGAACGGGUGAGUUACGAGUAGGUAACUACCUAUUAGAGGGGGCUAACUAUUGGAAACGAUAGCUAAUACCGCAUACUAGUAGAUGGAACUGCGUUGUAUUAGCUAGUAGGUAGGGUAAUGGCCUACCUUGGCAACGAUACCGAGCCGACCUGAGAGGGUGAUCCGCCACACUGGGACUGGGAAAAGUCCCCGACUCCUACGGGAUGGAGCAGUAGGGAAUCUUCGGCAAUGGGGGGAACCCUGACCAAGCAACGCCGCGUGAGUGAAGAAGGUUUUCGGAUCGUAAAGCUCUGUUGUUAAGGAAGCGGUACUUAACCAGAAAGGGACGGCUAACUACGUGCCAGCAGCCGCGGUAAUAC